UACGAAGGGGGCUAGCGUUGUUCGGAAUUACUGGGCGUAAAGCGCGCGUAGGCGGUGAUCUUUGUCAGAGGUGAAAGCCCGGGGCUCAACUCCGGAAUUGCCUUUGAAACGGGAUUGCUUGAGUCCGAGAGAGGAUGGCGGAAUUCCUAGUGUAGAGGUGAAAUUCGUAGAUAUUAGGAAGAACACCGGUGGCGAAGGCGGCCAUCUGGCUCGGUACUGACGCUCAGGCGCGAAAGCGUGGGGAGCAAACAGG
rnacentral:rRNA from 1 species